rnacentral:rRNA from 1 species
AUGAAUCUCUUCUUUGUUUCUUCAUCUCCUCUUAUUCUGAUUCCUGCAUUUGUUUUAUGUGAAGGUUGCUCCGCUGAGGACAAGCUGCUUCUGCAGGUGGACGGGCCCUCAAGGCUGCUCUGCCUAUUCCUCCUGCUACCCCCACACGUGCAAACACAAAGCCGUCGAUGCAUUGAGGGCUCAAUGUCGUCUCCGCCGGCUGAGCGGCAAGCCGGGGUUGGGCCUGCACACCGUCUAUCAGCACCCUCCCGUGUCUCCAUUCACGGAUCUGCAGGCGACAUCCUUUGGGAAAUUGAGGAUGUCCUCGUGCAUUUUCUAAAUACAAUUGGGGCAUAUCUGAGGAAUGAAGGGAGGAAUAAUCUCGUGGGAGAGUUCGGUGCAGAGGAAGAAGAACAAGAUAUUAUUUAUUUCUUGUGUACAGUCAAGCUUGUGCAUUGUCCCACUUUCUGGGGCCAGGCAACCUUGAAUCCAACGUCCACCUGCAGGCUACAUCUCAGGGGAAAUUGCAAAGCAUAUUAUGAAUUGUUACAAGAAACUAUUUCUGCUGUUUUGGUGCAAGGACGUUGCUUUUUAGUAUGCUUCCCGUAUCUUGGUAUCUUGGAAUAA